ensembl:lncRNA LINC02128 long intergenic non-protein coding RNA 2128
GGGCGAGGGAGGGCUCCGCGUCAGGGGCAGACAGCUCCAGGUGCUGGAGGCUGCCGCGCGGAGAGGUCCGCCCAGCCAGGAUGUGCGUUGUCCUGAGAAUCGAAUUACCCGGAACCCCAGAGCUCACCCUCUCUGAAGGAGAGCAGGUGCCUCCUGAGAGCAGGGCUUCUCUACCUUGGGGCACUAUGAACAUUCUGAGUGGGUGCCCACUUUGUUCAUCUCUGCUCACUGGGGGAGCCAGGACACGGAUCCAGGUUUUCUGACUCCAGGUCUCAGGCUUGCUCCAUAGCGCCACCUGCUGGUGACGGCAAUCGGUAGGCACCCAAAUCAAGACUCAGAUUUCCUCAUCUCAGAAGUUGUCCACUUCUUCUCCGACCUCCACGGUAACUCGGAACCACACCGUGGAGUUAUCCCUGUGUCCUCUUUCUCGGAAGUUCCACAUCCAACCCCUCAGCAGGUCUCAGCGGCACUCUCACCACCUCCUCUGCUCUGUUCCUGUUUCUCUUGGAUGGUCGAAUGUUUCCUAAGGAGUGUCUGCUGCUUCACGCUUGCCCCCUGGAGUGGCAUCUAAAAGGUGCAGGUCAGAUGAAUCUUUCUUCUGCCAGGGCUCCCGGCUUAGCCAAGGAAAAGCACAAGUCCCUGACCAUAUCCUGCAAAAUUCCACAUCUGGGAACUCAGGCAUAUCAGGCCUGGUCUCUUUUUCUUCUUCCUUUUAAAAUAACGAAUACAUUGACAUGCCCCUUAUUACACCAUGCUGAAAUGAAAUUCAUAGGCAAUAUCACCUAUCUAUAGACACAAUUUACAUAAAUCCAUGUAAGCCACAUAAUGCCCUAAUUGUAUUCUAGAGGAGAAUUAAAAGGAAACGAAUUUAUAAUAAAAUAAUAGUUAUCUCAGCAUGUAAA